GGACCCGCACAAGCGGUGGAACAUGUGGUUUAAUUCGAUGAUACGCGAAGAACCUUACCUGGGUUUGACAUGUUAGUGAAAGUUUUCUGAAAAGAAAUCCCUUUAGAAGCUUGCUUCUAAACACUAUCACAGGUGAUGCAUGGCUGUCGUCAGCUCGUGUCGUGAGAUGUUAGGUUAAGUCCUGCAACGAGCGCAACCCCUAUAUUUAGUUGCCAGCACAUAAUGGUGGGGACUCUAAAUAGACUGCCCGGAAUAACCGGGAGGAAGGUGGGGAUGAUGUCAAGUCAGUAUGUCCCUUAUACCCAGGGCUACACACGUGUUACAAUGGACAGUACAGAAAGUUGCAAUUCCGCGAGGAGGAGCCAAUCUUUAAAACUGUCCCCAGUUCGGAUUGUAGGCUGCAACUCGCCUACAUGAAGGUGGAAUC
rnacentral:rRNA from 1 species